GUCGCUACUACCGAUUGGGAAAAUUUUAGAGAGUCUGGGACUGAUGAUUGUUCGGCUUCACGGCCUUACUUUCGUCGGAAACGAAUUCGAUAAUAUUUUUCUAGAGGAAGUAA
rnacentral:rRNA from 1 species